rnacentral:rRNA from 1 species
UUGCUCCUUCGACGUUAGCGGCGGACGGGUGAGUAACACGUGGGCAACCUACCUUAUAGUUUGGGAUAACUCCGGGAAACCGGGGCUAAUACCGAAUAAUCUGUUUCACCUCAUGGUGAAACACUGAAAGACGGUUUCGGCUGUCGCUAUAGGAUGGGCCCGCGGCGCAUUAGCUAGUUGGUGAGGUAACGGCUCACCAAGGCGACGAUGCGUAGCCGACCUGAGAGGGUGAUCGGCCACACUGGGACUGAGACACGGCCCAGACUCCUACGGGAGGCAGCAGUAGGGAAUCUUCCACAAUGGGCGAAAGCCUGAUGGAGCAACGCCGCGUGAGUGAAGAAGGAUUUCGGUUCGUAAAACUCUGUUGUAAGGGAAGAACAAGUACAGUAGUAACUGGCUGUACCUUGACGGUACCUUAUUAGAAAGCCACGGCUAACUACGUGCCAGCAGCCGCGGUAAUACGUAGGUGGCAAGCGUUGUCCGGAAUUAUUGGGCGUAAAGCGCGCGCAGGUGGUUUCUUAAGUCUGAUGUGAAAGCCCACGGCUCAACCGUGGAGGGUCAUUGGAAACUGGGAGACUUGAGUGCAGAAGAGGAUAGUGGAAUUCCAAGUGUAGCGGUGAAAUGCGUAGAGAUUUGGAGGAACACCAGUGGCGAAGGCGACUAUCUGGUCUGUAACUGACACUG